ensembl:misc_RNA 7SK 7SK RNA
GGGUGUCCCCUUGCUUCCUCACGGCUCCAUGUGCAUCACUCCUGAAGCUGCCUGCUUCCUUGGAAGAGGGUUACCUACUAGAUAGAGGGGGGGCUUUUUCGGUCAAGGGUUUAGGAGUAGAUGUACUCUCCUGCUAGAACCUCCCUAGAAGCUCUCAAGGUCUGUUUGCUGGGUAGGCAAGCUUUCAAGACUCCAGACACAUCCAAAUGAAGUGCUGUGUAUAGCAGUCUGCCUUUCUUU